CGCUCCUCAGCGUCAGUUACAGACNGAGAGUCGCCUUCGCCACUGGUGUUCCUCCACAUCUCUACGCAUUUCACCGCUACACGUGGAAUUCCACUCUCCUCUUCUGCACUCAAGUUCCCCAGUUUCCAAUGACCCUCCCCGGUUGAGCCGGGGGCUUUCACAUCAGACUUAAGAAACCGCCUGCGAGCCCUUUACGCCCAAUAAUUCCGGACAACGCUUGCCACCUACGUAUUACCGCGGCUGCUGGCACGUAGUUAGCCGUGGCUUUCUGGUUAGGUACCGUCAAGGUACCGCCCUAUUCGAACGGUACUUGUUCUUCCCUAACAACAGAGCUUUACGAUCCGAAAACCUUCAUCACUCACGCGGCGUUGCUCCGUCAGACUUUCGUCCAUUGCGGAAGAUUCCCUACUGCUGCCUCCCGUAGGAGUCUGGGCCGUGUCUCAGUCCCAGUGUGGCCGAUCACCCUCUCAGGUCGGCUACGCAUCGUUGCCUUGGUGAGCCGUUACCUCACCAACUAGCUAAUGCGCCGCGGGUCCAUCUGUAAGUGGUAGCCGAAGCCACCUUUUAUGUUUGAACCAUGCGGUUCAAACAACCAUCCGGUAUUAGCCCCGGUUUCCCGGAGUUAUCCCAGUCUUACAGGCAGGUUACCCACGUGUUACUCACCCGUCCGCCGCUAACAUCAGGGAGCAAGCUCCCAUCUGUCCGCUCGACUGCAUGUAUUAGCACGCCGCCAGCGUUCGUCCUGAGCC
rnacentral:rRNA from 1 species